UUUACUUGGAAAUUUAUCUUUCGUCCAAAAAUCGAUCGAUAAUCGAAUCAUCCUCUGUGAAAAUUUCAAAUGGAUGGAAUGAAAAUUUAUUUGGAAAUUCAUCUUUCGAAAAUCGAUUGAUAAUCGAAUCAUUCCCUGUAAAGAAUUUAAAUGAUGGAAUUAGAAUUUCUUGCCCAAAAAUCGAUUGAUAAUCGAAUCAUUCCCUCUGAAAAUUUCAAACGUUGGAAUGAAAAUUUAUUUGGAAAUUUUUCGUCCAAAAAUCGAUUGAUAAUCCCUUGUGAAGAUUUCAAAUGAUGGAAUGAAAAUUUUUUAAACAAAUAAAAGAAGAAUUGGAUUAUUCCCUAUGAAGGUUUCAAAUAAUAGAACAAGAAAUUUGCUAUGUUUCGUAAACAAGGUCAAAUAAGACUCGUGUUUAUGCGAACUUUUUUCAUUGUUUUCGAGUAGUGAAUCAAUGGUUGGCAUGGAUCCCACAUAUGAUAUAUAUCAUUUCUUGUAUACACGUUUUGCUUCCCCGAGUAAAGAAUGACGCAACUGCAGAAUUGCAAAUUUUUAAAUAAACGUGCCAUUCACCGUAAAAACAUCCAAUUUAAAAAAAAAAAUAAUCUUAACAACAAAAUUGUAUCAUCAAAUUCUAUAUAUUUUAAUCAUAAUAACCUUUUUAAUUUCAAAAGGAGAAAAAAAAAUCAUCGUAAUAUUCAAAACUAUAUUAUUAAAUUUUCAUUUUUAAAUAAAAAACUUUCAUUCCAUCACAUCUUAUUUUUAUUCCCAAUCAAUAUUUUCAAUACCGCCAACCGUCUGCCAACAUCCAUCACAUUUCUCAGAACUAAUAACACACAUUUAAUUUUCUCUUGAAUUGAAAAAUCAUCUUCACCAGAGAAUCUUUCAAUAAUUCGAAAUACACCGACUAAAUAUAUCAUCCUACUCGACGAUCACAACCGUGUGCUUUUCAAAGUAACACUCUGCCUUACAUAUAACAGUAUCCUGUAUCAGUAUAACAGUAUCAGUAACAUAUAUAAUAAUAAUACUUCCCUGAAAAUACGAUUUAAUACGGUGAAAAACCUGGAUCAACAUCAACCAAUCAACUCUCCUCAAACUCUCUCCAUCUCUCUCUAACCAAUAAUUUCGAUCGAUUAAUUUCCACGAAGAAAAAGAAAAAGAAGAAGAAACGAUCGAUUUCCCCCGAUCUUCCAUUAUUCCAUUUUCCAUUCCUUCGCGCUACCUUCCGAAUCAAAUCAAAGAAAAGAGAAAGAGAGAAAUAGAGAGAGAAAGAGAAAGAGAAAGAGGGAGAGAGGAUUAAUUCCUUGGAAGCAAGUUUGUUUCACGGGUAUUCCCCUGCGUGGGAACAACACGAGUCGAGCAAAAGGAGAGGGAGAGGGGGGAUGGAGGGGAGAAUGAUCGAAAGGAGAAAAUUGCGAGAUGUCGAGGAUGAUUGAUUAUUUUUCCUUCGGUUAUCCGGUUUCGAGGCGAAAAGGAGAAAGAGCAAGGGGAGGGGAGGAGGCGGGGAUGAAGGUGUAUUAUUAUACAAGGGUAAGGAGGAGGGAAUGUGUCAAAGAAAACGUUGUCGUGGAUAAAUAUACAUCUGAAAUAAUAACGACAACCGAGCGUCUGUCUUCUCCAGGGAGCUACGAGAAAGAAGGAGAAAGGGAGAGAGAGAGUUGUAUUUAGUUAGGGAAAGAGAGAUCGGAGUUAAUUGCGAUAUCAUUAUGAAAAUCGGUGACGUAUAACGCCUGUCCUAGUUCGCGUUCGACGCGAAAAUACACCACGUACAAUAAUAUAGCGCUAUAACGUUUGACCGAGUUAACGUGCGCGCGCAAGAGAGAGAGAGAGAGAGAGAGAGAGAGAGAGAUAAAUGUGUAUCUUUAUGAAAAAUAUUUCGUUCGGAUCGACGUCGCGAUGAUCGAGAGGUUUACUUCGUCGUAAAGUUUCGUGUGGAUUCGUGGAUGAAAUGGUAAAGGGCGAUACGAUGCACAAUUGAUAUUUUUUUCCGCUCGAACGUUUCGAUAAUUAAUGCGUUGAGGUUAUGCUCAUAUAUUCGUGCUAAAUAUCUUAUUCGUUAUGGAUUUGAAAUGAUAGAAAGACGUCGCGAUUAUUAAUAUUUUGAGAGAAGAAUCGUAAGAAACCGAUUUCGAUUUGAAAAUGUAAUGAUAAAAAGGAUGAUUAAUAUUUUGGAAGAAUCGUGACGUUUCGAUAAUUUUUGAAGUUGUGAUCGAUACUUGUGCUAAAUAUUUUGUUAUACAAGUUAAUUUGAAUUUGAGAAUGAAAUAAAAAGAAUAUUGUGAUUAAUAUUUUGGAAUAUUUGAAACUUGUGUUGAAUACAAAUAUGUUGUACAAUGUUGAUUUCAUUGUAUAUGAUAUGAUUUUGAGGAUAAAAUGACAAAAAGGAUGUUUUCGAUAAUUAUUUUUUGAGAUUAUGGACGUGUUAUUAAUAUUUAUAUUGUACACAAUUUAUAAUUUGACUUGAGAGGAGAAAAGAAUGUUGUCAUUAAUAUUUCGGAAGAAUCAUGAGAAUGUUUCAAUAAUUUUUGAGGUUAUAUGCGAUAUUUGUGUUAAAUAUUUUAAGUUACACGUUAAUUUCGUGGAUUUGAUAUGGAUUCGAGGAUGAGAUGAUAAAUAUAUUGGAAUAUCGCACGAACGUUUCGAUAAUUAUCCGUUGAGGUUACGCGCGAUAUUUGUGCUAAAUAUUUUAUGUUAUAUGUUAAUUGGAUUUGAUACGGAUUCGAGGAUGAGAUGAUAAAUAUAUUGGAAUAUCGCGCGAACAUUUUGAUAAUUAUGUGGCUAUAUUUGUGCAAAAUAUUUUAUAUUAUAUGUUAAUUUCGUGGAUUUAAUAUGGUUUUUGGGAUGAAAUGAUAAAAGGAUAUUGCAACAAAUAAUGUGACGAAUUGAGGUUAUGUGUGAUAAAUAUCUCAUAUGUGUGGAAGCAUAUGUUAUUUAAUUGAGAAAAAAAUUUGAUUAAAUUCUAUGUAUAAUUUUA